rnacentral:rRNA from 1 species
GUGCCAGCAGCCGCGGUAAUACGGAGGGGGCUAGCGUUGUUCGGAAUUACUGGGCGUAAAGCGCACGUAGGCGGAUCAGAAAGUUGGGGGUGAAAUCCCGGGGCUCAACCUCGGAACUGCCUUCAAAACUAUUGGUCUUGAGUUCGAGAGAGGUGAGUGGAAUUCCGAGUGUAGAGGUGAAAUUCGUAGAUAUUCGGAGGAACACCAGUGGCGAAGGCGGCUCACUGGCUCGAUACUGACGCUGAGGUGCGAAAGCGUGGGGAGCAAACAGGAUUAGA